rnacentral:rRNA from 1 species
AGCGAACGCUGGCGGCAGGCCUAGCACAUGCAAGUCGAACGAAGUCUUCGGACUUAGUGGCGGGCGGGUGAGUAACACGUGGGAACGUACCUUUUGGUUCGGAACAACUCAGGGAAACUUGAGCUAAUACCGGAUGAGCCCUUAGGGGGAAAGAUUUAUCGCCGAAAGAGCGGCCCGCGUUAGAUUAGCUAGUUGGUGAGGUAAAGGCUCACCAAGGCUAUGAUCUAUAGCUGGUCUGAGAGGAUGAUCAGCCACACUGGGACUGAGACACGGCCCAGACUCCUACGGGAGGCAGCAGUGGGGAAUCUUGCGCAAUGGGCGAAAGCCUGACGCAGCCAUGCCGCGUGAAUGAUGAAGGUCUUAGGAUUGUAAAAUUCUUUUACCGGGGACGAUAAUGACGGUACCCGGAGAAGAAGCCCCGGCUAACUUCGUGCCAGCCGCCGCUGUAAUAC